CGCGUAGGCGGUCGGUCAAGUCGGUUGUGAAAGCCCUCGGCUCAACCGAGGAAUUGCAUCCGAUACUGGUCGGCUAGAGUAUGGAAGGGGAGAGUGGAACUCCUGGUGGAGCGGUGAAAUGCGUAGAUAUCAGGAGGAACGCCGGUGGCGAAAGCGACUCUCUGGUCCACAACUGACGCUGAGGCGCGAAAGCCAGGGGAGCAAACG
rnacentral:rRNA from 1 species